rnacentral:misc_RNA from 1 species
GUUUGAAACCCGGAAGAUGUAUGUUGAGAUCCAUCCAACUGUUAGACCCAAAACCAGGACUAGUUGAACGACAUUUCCAGCUUGUAAAGGGUCAAAUCCCAAGAACUCCAAUCCACUCUUUAAGCCAACCCCUAGAAGUGUAACUCCAACUCCAAUCAAUAUAACAUCCUUUCUCGUAUAUCCAAAUGGUGUCUUAUUCUGUCCAAGAGCUCCAUCGCUACUGCCACUCGGUUCUGAGCUAGCUCUGGUGAUCAUACGUGGAACUUUCUUCAUGCUCAUGUUGUGGGAUACAUUCCUUAGGACAGAGGAAGUUCCGACUCUGACAUGUCUCUGGGAGUAAGUUAUUUCUGGUCUGGUUAUGGGUUGCAUCAAAGGAAAAGAAGAGAUACUCAUCAAAGAAGAAACUCUACAUUUGCACAAAAG